rnacentral:tRNA from 1 species
GCAGUGGGGGUUCAAUGGUAAAAUUCUGACCUUCCACAUGGGAGACCCAGGUUUGAUUCCUGGCCAGUGCA